GAAGAUGAUGAAUAUGCAUGCACGGGGCUCCGAGCAGUUGAUUAUCAGUUGUUUUAUUGAUGGACAAUGCAGCCCUAGAAAGUUAUAUCUGAUGU